AUCCUGGCUCAGAACGAACGCUGGCGGUAUGCCUAACACAUGCAAGUCGAACGAAGGCUUCGGCCUUAGUGGCGCACGGGUGCGUAACGCGUGGGAAUCUGCCCUUAGGUUCGGAAUAACAGCUGGAAACGGCUGCUAAUACCGGAUGAUAUCGCGAGAUCAAAGAUUUAUCGCCUGAGGAUGAGCCCGCGUUGGAUUAGGUAGUUGGUGGGGUAAAGGCCUACCAAGCCGACGAUCCAUAGCUGGUCUGAGAGGAUGAUCAGCCACACUGGGACUGAGACACGGCCCAGACUCCUACGGGAGGCAGCAGAAGGG
rnacentral:rRNA from 1 species